GGGGCCAUAGCUCAGAUGGGAGAGCGCCUGCUUUGCACGCAGGAGGUCAGGAGUUCGAUCCUCCUUGGCUCCACCA
rnacentral:tRNA from 1 species